rnacentral:lncRNA from 11 species
AUGUUAUGUUGUAAUUACUGUAUUUACGAAUUUAGCACCAAAAUAUCACGAUGUAUUGAAAACAAUGACUACAAAAAUGGCUUGGAUAAUCCAGAACCUUGGAUAAGCAAGUAUUGGAUAAGUGAGACUCUACUGUAUUAUCAUCACCAUAUUAUUAUUGAUAUAUUGCUAUUAUCAUUAUCAUAUUAUUCUUAUUGUUAUCAUAUUCUUAUCACCAUCAUAUUAUUAUUGUUAUUAUCAUAUUCAUAUGAUUAUUAUCACCGUAUUAUUAUGAUAGUCUUAUCACCAUCAUAUUAUUAUCACUAUUAUGAUCACCAUAUUAUUAUCAUUAUGAUUAUUAUCAUCAUCACCAUAUUAUCAUAUUCUUAUCACCAUAUUACUAUCAUCAUCACCAUAUUAUUAUCACUAUCAUGAU